AGCCUACGUGCUAUAUAAUAAAAUUGGAAUUCUAGAGAGGAGAUUAGCUUGGCCCUUGUACCAUGCUAACACCCAAAUUAGUGAAAUAUUCCCUAUCAUA
ensembl:snRNA U6 U6 spliceosomal RNA